UCCAAAAGUAUAAAACAAAAGGAUUCUUCAAGCAUCUCACUGAAACUCCUCCUGAUCUGUGCACAAAACAGGAAUCCAAGAUGUGGGACUGCAGAGACUUUUUUGGGAUCAGAAAGAAAUUCGUCUAAUUCCAGAACAGAGAGUGUGUGGCACAUUUAUCUUCCUAAAAGCUUUUCCUGGAACUCUAAAUGGAUAUCAUUCUUCGCCCCCUUACCGGCUGGCUGGCAACCUGUUGUGCUCCACAGGCGUUUGUGAUUCAAGGGGAAGGAAGUUGGAGGCCAUGACAGAGUCGACUGUUUUAUGAAACACUAUUUCAGGAACACAGUUUAAGAGAAAAUUCACAUCACCAAAUUGGUAUUUAAGAAGAAAGUUUAACAAUGAGCCUCUGAGUCUGUUCCAUCGAGCUAUUGGAGGCAAAAGAGUGGCUUCUCUCAGUUACCUGAAAAAUUUCAUCUCAUCCUCGCUAAGUAAAAACUGAAGUAUUUCCCUCGAACAGAGAUUGUUUACCCAAGCAGUGAGAACCACAUAAAUUAGGACGAGAUGCCAGAAGUAGCAGCUCUGGGGUGGCCAUGAGCACCCUUUCUCAAGGCUCCAGCUCCAAUGACUGACCUAGUUGCUUUGUCCAACAUGAAAGGAUGAGGCUGCAGACCUGAGUCACUGUGUAACACAGGUGCUGGAUGAAGCAAUAAUUAAAUGUAGAUGUCACACAUGCCAGAUUAUUCUGCAGUCCAGCCCUAAUGGGGGCUUACAGACACCUAUUUAUGAAUAGUCCACCCUGUUAUUGCGUGCAAAGCAGAGAAUGCAACUGA